rnacentral:sRNA from 1 species
CUAUGCACUUUUAUUAUCAAUCAUUCUUCCCGAACAUGCACCAUCGAUGCUUCUACUUGCAUAAUAGCGCAAGAAGAGUUCCUUCUGGUUCCGCUAUGCUCAUAUCAGUGAUAGCGCAGCUCGGCGUGUAAUGGGUUUUUUUUUUUUUUUUUCCUUUUCCCUUUUUCCUUGCGGACUGUGUAUAAAGCGGAUGCACCGGUAUCGAUUGACUUAUUUUUUUUAUGUUACGACUCGGCAUUGUAACUUCAGCGUAAAGACGACGUUUGCCCUCCUCAAUCUGGCGGUAUUUUUUUCAAUUAUUGUAAGGUUGGUUAGCCAGUUUGUCAGCCAGGCAGGGAAGGGAAGGGAAGGGCAGGGAGCAGGACAGCAGACCAGGGGAACCGAUUCGGGAAGAAUCCAUGCCCCCCCCCCCCUGCUCCCGUGUCGAAGUCUUUUAAUUGUACGGAGUACUCCGUAUAGUUAUAAGUUAAUGCAGGGGAGCGGAUAACGGGGGCGGACGCGAUUGAUUGAUCAACCAUCGAUGAUGGAAUAUAUAUAUAUAUAUAUAAACAUACGAGUAGGUAUAUGAUAACCCAAAGGGUGCCUGAAUGGGGAAGGUAAGGGAAAAUAGAGCAGUGAAGAGGGUGGAUUUUUGUUGGAAUUUCCCCGAUACAUUCCUGCGAAGCGCGUGGCACGACGCUUCCAAAACAGCGCUGGGACUGCGAACAGGGAAUGUACGUACAAGCUGAAGUCUGAUGAAGGGCGGCCUGAGAGCCUGAGAGCCUGGGGGCCUGGGGGCCUGGGUCCCUGCCGGGCGCCUGAGACGAGAACUGAGGCAUCGCCCCGAUUGAAACCCAUGAUGUUUUUUUUUUUUUUUUUUUUUUUUUGGCUUUCUCCUGCACAAACCCGCCUCGGUACCGGGGUUUUUUCUUUGGUUUUGGUUUUCAUUUUCAAUUCUCAUUUUCCUUGGGCUGCGGGAGACAAAACCGUGAGAAAGCGAUUAUUUGAGACAUGCGAUUAGCUAACUACUCUAUUCUUACACUUCUUUUACUUUUUGCCAUUUGAUUGAUAGAUUGAUCCCUAUUGCUAAUCCUGCGGGAAUAAAUUCGUAAUAAAAAUACCUACCUAGGUAAGUUUUUUAUUUUUGUCUUUAAAACGUGAGAGUUGGUUAAAUGGUCGAUCUUGAUGAAUUUUCAGCCAAUCAUAUUUGAUAUUGAGCCUUGAUUCAAAAAUAUAUCUCUUGAGACAUCUACCUGUUUUUUUUUUUUUUUAAUUCCUUUAUUUUUUGCCAGGAGCAUUUCAAAUGGUGGUAAUAGUAGCCACCUCAGGAGGCGAUUUUCCUCUUCUCUGGCUUCGUCCAUGGCUCCUAGAGAGAGAGAGAGAGAGAGAGAGAGGGAGAGAGUAGAUAAAAAAAGAAAAUGGGGUUCCACUCUGCACACGCACCCAACAACUCCUCGGUGGCAUCUUCUCACAAGUUCAUUGGUUACGUCGGUGUUGUGUUGUAAAGUGCCAGGCAUGACAACAUCAAAAGGGAGUAGCCGGAGGAGGACUUGAUCUUGGGCC